AGUCACAGAGCAGGCAGCUUUCCCGAAAAUAAAAUGAGAAUCCCCAGGAAACAGGGAAAAUGGAAGGCGGGCGGUGAGUCAGCACGUGCUGCCCCCCGGGGCUCCAGUUUCCAAAAGGGCCUCCUGCCCUGCUCCUCCUCCUCCUCCUGGGUCUCUCUCUUUCUCUUUUACUUUUCCUCUGGUCCCCUGUUGACUUUUUCCCUCACCGAACUCACUGAAUCUCAGUCCUCACACACGCGCACCCACUCACUUCCUGCCCCUUAUCGUUUCCCUCCCUGCAUCUGUCUGUCUGUCCAGCCUCGAUCUGUGCACCCACUGGCUCCUUUGGUGUUUACAGAGCACCUACCAAGUCCAGGCACUGUGCACCACGGGAGGGAGUGGGGAGGCAGAGAAGGCCUAGGUCUCUCCUCCCAGAGCCCUUUCUUGUUGGAAAAGGAGACUUGUGCCGGGAUGUGGCCAGCCACGGCCGCGCCUGGGUCCCCUUCCCCAGCCCCUGCUCCUGUGGUUGGUUCCCCCGGAUGGACAGAGCUGGGCCCCCAACAGAGAACGAUGCUUGAGGAUCCCAUUCCAAGCCAAUGCCGUCUCUGCCUCCCUCCCGGCUCGGAGCACAAGGCCUGCACGCUGAGGGCGAGUGCGUGGUGGAGCAGGAGCUUCGGGGCGGUGUUUCUCACCCAGCCAUGUCUCCCCUGCCCAGAACCGGGCAUCAAGGGGAGUGAACUGCGGGCUGUUUUGAAUUUGAGGGACAAGCUUGGUUGUCCCUUGUUCCCUGCCUCCCCAUUCCAAGCCUCCUGUGGCAGAAGGAGGCCAGGCCAUAUCUUGAGGGAGGAUUCUGGGCGUGCCUGCUUCACCCCAACAGCCCAAGGUCAGGGGAGGGGCUCCAGGCCGCAGGGGGUACAGCAAGGGGAAGCCACUCAGGCCCCUUCCCAUCUGGACAAGUCCCUGAGUGCCAGGGCCCUUUGACUCUCUCCUGUCUCCCUCCUCCCCCAUCUCCCAGCUAGAAUCCAGGCUCUCCCACCACCCUCUGGGACCCCUGGGGCCGCUCACUUUCCAGACCCCUCUAAUUCGGGCACUGGCCCCUCAGGAGCCGGGGAGGUGGCCCUGUGCCUGGGUCAUGGGGCUGGGCUGGGGUCUCCUGCCUCUCGGGUCACUGUCCAAUCUCUGUCUGCAGCUCUCGAUGAAUAAUUUAGUUGUUCGAAUUACAGGAAAGAGCUAUUUAGCUUCCCUUCCCAAAUCGUUAAGAGCUGAUGAUACAAGACGUCUUGGUUCCUUCUAAGGAAAGUCCCUUUCCCAGUGAAACUGAGCCUUGUGGGCGGGGAUUUCUCCCCCUCCAACUCCCUCACCAAUCAUUAACCAAUAUCCGACAGUAAUAGGGUUUUUUCUUUUUUCUUUUUUUUUUUUAAGCUCAGCUAUAUAUAUUCUAAAGUAUAUGUCAGUUCUUGGGAGCAGGGAAGUAUAACUGAUCUGAAGGGUGGGGUGGGGGUUCUGCUCUGGAAGGAGCCUUGGGUGAGCUAAUGGUGACCCCAAGUCAUAAUUGCAGGUCCCUGGAGGGGAUUUAAGAUAUAGGAAGUAGCACUUCGCAAGCCUGAGAGGAAGAAGCAUGGGGUGUAAAACUGUUCAGGUGGUUCAAGAGUGCGUGUGCGUGUGUGCAUGUGAGUGUGCAUGUGUGUGUGAGAAUGUGAAUAUGCACAUGUAUGCGUGUGCACGAGGGCGCACACGUGUAUGCACAGAUGCACACGCAUACCUGUGUGAUUGUGCAUGUGUGCGCUGUGCAUGUACAUAUGUGCGUAUGUGUGCACGUGUGUGAGUGUGUACGUGUUUAUAGGAGCAUGACUGCCUGAGCGGCAUGGCUGGAAUGUGUGGACCGGGACCAGGUGGGGGUUUGCAGUGCAGGGACAGCACUUCUUGUUUUCAGAGCUGGGAGAGUUGGGGUGGGGAAUCUGGGUAGGGCUGGCCUCCCAGUCAGGUGACUUGCAGGCAGGGAGGGGAGGGGCUUUAGGAAGUUCAGAGAGUGGGAGGGAGGAACAGGGAAGGGCAAGGGUGGGGACCUUGGCUGGAAGGUUCAAUGCAAAGUGAGGCGACAUCCAGGAUUGAGCAUUCUGGAUCCUAGACCCAGGGAUGGCUGGGAGGUGGGGCUCCCCUGGGUGAAGGAGCCAGGUGGGUGUGUGAGCCAAGAGUUAGCUGUGGCUGCCAGAGGAGGGGGCUGGAGACGAGGCUGCCAGCCUCAGCCUGGCUGAAGAGGACCUCCCAGCACCAGGCCAGGGGAAGGUGGACAGGUAGGGAGAGAAAAAGGAGGGAAGGAAUGAGGACUGAGCUAGCAGGUCCCACACUUUGCAGGUGUGGUGAGGAGGAGAGAGGGAAGAAGGGGGACCCUCUGCAGUCCUGGCUGGCAGGAAGCUUGGCCUGUGCUCUGGCAAGCACACCCUGCCCUGCUGGACUCACUGGAGGAGUCUGUUCUCUGUGUGCCCGGCAGAGGGAUAGACACGCAUUUCCCACGACGUCACCCACCCCAGAACCACUUAGCCUGCAGCCUCCCCCAGAUUCCCUGACUUCCCACCUGAGCAAGCCCAGCUGGCCUCCCGCAUCCACUCAGGUGCCCUCCGUGUGUUGUCUUCCGGACAGGGGCACCCAACACAGGUGCAAGCAGUGCGUGCUAGGGCCGGAGAGGAGGACAGUGGAGGCUGCUCCCAGCCUCCUUUUUCUUCCGUACUCCCACCAGCACCUCCACCCCACCUCUGAAACUCCACCCCAAUUCUGGGGAGUGUGGAGAUGACUGAGGAAGGGGGGAUAUUUCCAGAGCCACUCCAACUGGUCCCAGAUGCAUCAGAGGGUGACCCUGGGAGGCCAGUCCUUAGGCAGCUGCCUAAGGACCCGACUCUGGAAGGGAACUCAGAGACAAAUGAGGAGCAGACCAGCCCCAGCUCCGGGUUUGCAGAUCUGGGCAGAGUGAGGAAAAGGCCGGGAAAGAAAAACCAACCCCCGGAAUCUAUCUCAGAGAAGCAUCCGUCCAGGUAGAGAGGGACCCCAGCCCGACCGCCACCCUCACCCAGGGGAGAAGCCUAGCAGCUCCCUCUGGGUUGGGUGUGCAUGUGUCAUCCCACCAAAGUGUGCUGGGAUUGGAAUGGGCACGACCUUCCCCCAGAGAGAUCGCCUGGGCAGCCCCGUAAGUGUCCAGGGGUCCCCUGAGAGCAUUCUAUGGUCCCAGCCUCCCACAGGAGCCCCAACAAUGCUCUCUGGCUCCUCAUCCUCCUUGGUGGCAGCUCCUCUCCCCACCAAAGGGCCAUGUGGGUCCCAGCUGUGACCUCAGCACCCCUCAGCCAGAUGUGGACCCGCCCCAGACUCCAUCACUCUCUCUGCUCUCUUCACAGAAGAGAGGUGGAGGGAGGACCCCACGGGCCUCGCUGGUGGCAGGCGGUGGGGAUGUAGCGGGGGAGUGUGUGGGGGGGGUUAGAGUUAGGACAGCAGCCCCUCCCCAAACCCCGAUCCCUGAGCCCCAAGCCUGUCUUGGCUCCAUGGGGCAAGGGAGGGGUAGUCAAGCCCCACAGAAGAGAGGCAUCCCCCAGUUUCCAUGGAGAAGGAUCGGGGUGUCCUGAUUUGGAGGCUUCCAUGCUGUCUGCUGCUCCCUGUGGAUACACAGUUGGGGCGCUCUCUGUUCCUCCCUAGUCCCUUCUCUCCUCCCUGCUUGCCUGGGAGGCUUGGGCAGGAGGGCACCUGGAUGGUGGCCACUAGACAGAGCCCACCCCCCGCCGCUUGACCUCUGCCCUCUCCUGGGUGGGAAUGGCAGGGCCCUCUUUGGUGUCAGGAGCUGGUGGCCUCUGUGGCCUCUGUCCCGCCCGCUCCCAACACCUGCCUUCCCUUCUCUGCUCCAGCUGCAGUCGGCUUCUGCCAAUGCCCAGAACCUUGUAGUCUUUUGCCCGCUGGUUUUGCAUGUGCUUCCCCUAGGCCAGAGGGCAGCAAACUUUCUCUGAAAAGGGCCAGGUAGUAAAUAUUUCAGCCUCUGCUUAGUGAGGAAGCAGCCAUGGACCACUCACGAACAAGUGAGUAUGGCUGUGUUCCAACACAACUGCGUACGCACACUGCAACUUGAAUUCCGUGUGAUUUUCACAUCAUGAAAUAUUCUUUUUUCUUUUGCUUGGUUUUUCAACCACUUAAAAAUGUAAAAACCAGCCAGGCACAGUGGUUUACGUCUGUAAUCCCAGCACUUUGGGAGGCCAAGGCGGGAGGAUCACUUGAGCCCAGGAGUUCAAGAUCAGCCUGGGAAACACAGUGGGAUUCCGUCUUUACAAAAAAUGAAGAAAUUAGUCAGGCAUGGUGGUGCACACCUGUGGUCCAAGCUAGUCAAGGAGGCUGAGGCAAGAGGACCCCUUGAGCCCAGGAGGUCAAGGCAGCAGUGAGCCAUGAUCACACCACUGCGCUGCAGCCUGGGCAACAGAGCGGGAACCUGUCUCAAAAAAAUAAUUAAAAUUAAAAUUAAAACAUGUAGGCCGAGUGCGGUGGCUCACACCUGUAAUCCCAGCACUUUGGGAGGCCGGGAUGGGCAGAUCAUUUGAGGCCAGGAGUUCGAGACCAGUCUGGCCAACAUGGUGAAACCCUGUCUCUACUAAAAAUAGAAAAAAAAUUAGCCAGAUGUGGUGGCACACGCCUAUAGUCCCAGCUACUUGGGAGACUGAGGCAUGAGAAUCACUUGGACUCAGAGGCAGAGGUUGCAGUCAGCUGAGAUCGCACCACUGCACUCCAGCCUGGGCAACAGAGUGAGACCCUGUCUCAAAAAAAAAAAAGAAACUAAAACGUGUAAAAACCAUUUUUUUUUUAGUGGAAUCUUGCUCUGUUGCCCAGGCUGGCGUGCAGUGGCACAGUCUCGGCUCACCACAACUUCCACCUCCCGGGGUCAAGCCAUUCUCCUGCCUCAGCCUCAGCCUCCCGAGUAGCUGGGAUUACAGGCACGCACCACGAUGCCGGGCUAAUUUUUAUAUUUUUGAAUAGAGAUGGGGUUUCACCAUGUUGGCCAGGCUGGUUUUGAACUCCUGACCUCGUGAUCCACCCACCUCGGCCUCCCAAAGUGCUGGGAUUACAGGUGUAAGCCACCGCGCCAGGCCUGUAAAAACCAUUUUUUGCGGGCUGAACAAAAACAGGCAGCACGUUGGAUUUAGCCUGGGGGCAGUGGUGGAGGUUUGCUGACCCCUGUACUAGGCUGCUCCAUUGGGGAACUCUCUCAAGGUUCAGCGGAAGCCUCCCUUCCCGGACCAGGUGAGAUGCCCCAUAAGACCUGUACUGCCUCUCUUCUGGCAGGCCGCCUAGCACCCUAGGUGCUCAACAACAGUUUGUUUUGUUUUGAGACAGGGUCUCACUCCGUCACCCAGGCUGGAGUGACAGACCACGUCUUACUGCAGCCUUGACCUCCCAGGCCCAAGCAAUCCUCCGGCCCUAGCCUCCCAAGUAGCUGGGACUACAGGCAGGCACCACCACACCUGGCAAAUUUUUUCUAUGUUUUCUUUUUUUUUUUUUUUCUGAGACAGUGUCUUGCUCUGUCACCCAGGCUGGAGUGCAGUGGCGUGAUCUCGGCUCACCGCAACCUCCCCCUCCCAGUUUCAAGCAAUUCUCCUGCCUCAGCCUCCCAAGUAGCUGGGAUUACAGGCACGAGCCACCAUGCCUAGCUAAUUUUUGUAUUUUUGGUAGAGACGGGGUUUCACCAUUUUGGUCUGGCUGGUCUCAAACUCCUGACCUCAAGUGAUCCACCCGCCUCGGCCUCCCAAAAUGCUGGGAUUACAGGCGUGAGCCACUGUGCCCAGCCCUUAUUUUUUCUAUUUUUUACAGAGAUGAGGUCUCACUUGUUGCCCAGGAUGGUCUUGAACUCCUGGGCUCAAGCAAUCCUCCUGCCUCAGCCUCCCGAAGUUCUGGGAUUGCAGGUGUGAGCCACUGCACCUGGCCUACUAGUUUGUUGAUUAAAGGUGCUUCCUACACAUUGUCUCCUUUGAUCUUCACAAUGUCUGAGCAAAGCAUAGCAAUUAUCCCCAUCCCUGUUUUUGUUUUGUUUUGUUUUGUUUUGUUUGAGACAGAGUCUCGCUCUGUUGUCCAGGCUGGAGUGCACUGGCACCAUCUCAGCUCACUGCAACCUCCGCCUCCCAAUUCUCCUGCCCCAGCCUCCUGAGUAGCUGGGACUACAGGAGUGCACCACCACGCCUGGCUAAUUUUUCUGUUUUUAGUAGAGACGGUUUCACUGUGUUGGCCAGGCUGGUCUCGAACUCCUAACCUCAGGUGAUCCACCCACCUUGGCCUCCCAAAGUGCUGAGAUUUCAGGCGUGAGCCCCCACACCAGGCAUAUUAUUCCCAUUUUUUAAAUUUAUUUUUAUUUAUUUAUUUAUUUUGAGAUGGAGUCUUGCUCUGUUGCCCAGGCUGGAGUGCAGUGUCGUGAUCACGGCUCACUGCAAGCUCUGCCUCCUGGGUUCAAGUGAUUCUCCUGCCUCAGCCUCCAAAGUAGCUGGGACUAUAGGCGCCUGCCACCACGCCCGGCUAAUUUUUUGUAUUUUUUUUAGUAGAGACGGGGUUUCACCAUGUUAGCCAGGAUGGUCUCGAUCUCCUGACCUUGUGAUCCGCCAACCUCGGUCUCCCAAAGUGCUGGGAUUACAGGCAUGAGCCACCGUGCCCGGCCUAUUAUUCCCAUUUUAUAGACAAGGUAGUUGAAGUCUAGAGAGGUUAAGCAACUUGUCCAAUGUCACCCCGCUGGCUGAGGCAGAGGCACAAAGGGAGUCCGCACACUGUUUUCCGGGCAGCUGGGCAGCUGGAGAGCCUGGCCUCUGUCCACUGGUCCAGGGCUUUAGGGGAUGAGACCGGGCUGUUCCAGGGGUCCAGGGAGCCCAGCCUGCCUCCAUCCCUGGUCUCAGGCUUGCUUGGGAACUGACGGGGGUGCUCCUUGACCUCCAUCCACCGAAAGGCCCCUGCCCUUCUGUGGAGCAGCAUUCUUUACGAGUCAUUUCUAGGACUGGGCUUAUGACUCCUGGUCUUCAGGGAUUGAGUCCUGCCUUCUCAGUCAUCCCAGGUCAGGGCUAGAGUUAGUGACUCUGAUUCUGUAGUCCCUGGCCCACCCUUCCUGAGCCUUCCUUUGGAGCCAUCACUUAGCCCAGCUGGGGCCAGUAACUGCUCUCUCCCCUGCCCCACCCCCAGCUGUGGACAUGUCCCCAUGGUCUCAGCCUCUUCUCAGCCCUGCUCCACUCAGCCUCCAGCCAGACCAUCUCUGCCAGGCCUUCAUCUCCCCAUGCGUCAGAGGAGGAUGACUGCCCGGCACCCUCCCACUCCCAGCGUCAGCCUGGGAAUUGGGGCGUGCUCCUGGGCUGGGCCUGAUGUACACGGUGUGCAGCUGUGGGCUCCCUCCCAAUCACGGGGUAUCUCAGGAGGUUUCUGAGGUUGGGGAUGGGGGUGGCCCUCUCCUUUGGAUUUGAGGCAGUGGCCCCAGGACCAGCGGGGUCACUCGGCUCAGCACUCCCUUCCAGUUCUUUCCCACAGAACAUCCUGGCUUCAGGGAUUCCCAUCACGCGGCCAGAGUUCAUCGGAAGUCCCCCUCCCUCAUCCCCUGGAGGGAGGAAACAGACCAGGUCAUCUGGCUGAGCGGGAGGAGAAGGCUCGGGUUCUGGGGAGGGGAGCCUGGGUGCGGCAGGGUCCAGGGACAGUUGGCAUGGGCGUAAGUGCAGGUAUAGAAUUCCACAUAGGGCCUCACAGCUUUGGGGGCCAUGAGAUGACAGCGUCACCAAUAUCAGUGAUCAUCACCUCCCAUCCAGAGGCCGAAGAAGCAGGGCCCUGCCACAGGCAGCCAGGCUGGCUCUGCUGGGGGAACAGGCAGAA
rnacentral:lncRNA from 1 species